rnacentral:rRNA from 1 species
GACGAACGCUGGCGGCGUGCUUAACACAUGCAAGUCGAGCGGUAAGGCCCUUUCGGGGGUACACGAGCGGCGAACGGGUGAGUAACACGUGGGUGACCUGCCCUCAGCUCUGGGAUAAGCCUGGGAAACCGGGUCUAAUACCGGAUAUGACUCCAUGACGCAUGUUGUGGGGUGGAAAGCCUUGUGCGGCUGAGGAUGGGCCCGCGGCCUAUCAGCUUGUUGGUGGGGNGAUGGCCUACCAAGGCGACGACGGGUAGCCGGCCUGAGAGGGCGACCGGCCACACUGGGACUGAGACACGGCCCAGACUCCUACGGGAGGCAGCAGUGGGGAAUCUUGCGCAAUGGGCGAAAGCCUGACGCAGCGACGCCGCGUGA